rnacentral:tRNA from 1 species
GCCCGGUUGGCUGAGUCUGUUAAGCGUCCGACUUCAGCUCAGGUCACGAUCUCACAGUUUAUGAGUUCAAGUCUCACAUUGGGCU